UACGAAGGGUGCAAGCGUUACUCGGAAUUACUGGGCGUAAAGCGUGCGUAGGUGGUUGUUUAAGUCUGUUGUGAAAGCCCCGGGCUCAACCUGGGAAUGGCGAUGGAUACUGGCGAGCUAGAGUGUGUCAGAGGAUGGUGGAAUUCCCGGUGUAGCGGUGAAAUGCGUAGAGAUCGGGAGGAACAUCAGUGGCGAAGGCGGCCAUCUGGGACAACACUGACGCUGAAGCACGAAAGCGUGGGGAGCAAACAGG
rnacentral:rRNA from 1 species